GACGAAGGGGGCUAGCGUUGUUCGGAAUUACUGGGCGUAAAGCGCGUGUAGGCGGUUGCCCAAGUCGGGUGUGAAAGCCUUGAGCUCAACUCAAGAAAUGCACUCGGUACUGGGUGACUAGAGGACCGGAGAGGAUAGUGGAAUUCCCAGUGUAGUGGUGAAAUACGUAGAGAUUGGGAAGAACACCAGUGGCGAAGGCGGCUAUCUGGAACGGUUUCUGACGCUAAGACGCGAAAGCGUGGGGAGCAAACAGG
rnacentral:rRNA from 1 species